rfam:Triticum aestivum genome assembly, contig: Triticum_aestivum_CS42_TGACv1_scaffold_578885_7BL
AUACUACUCCCUCCGUCCUAAAAUAAGUGACUCAAAAAUGACACAACUUUGUACUACUGUUAGUACAAAGUUGAGUAAGUUUUGAGUCACUUAUUUUGGGACGGAGGGAGUAGUAU